UACGUAGGGGGCGAGCGUUGUCCGGAGUUACUGGGCGUAAAGGGCACGCAGGCGGUGCGGCGCGUUUCGCGUGACAGCGGAGGGCUUAACUCUCCGAGGAUGCGAAAGACGGCGGCACUUGAGGGCCAGAGGGGGACACGGAAUUCCGGGUGGAGUGGUGAAAUGCGUAGAGAUCCGGAGGAACACCGAAGGCGAAGGCAGUGUCCUGGCUGGUGACUGACGCUGAGGUGCGAAAGCUAGGGGAGCGAACGGG
rnacentral:rRNA from 1 species